rnacentral:rRNA from 1 species
UUAUCCGGAUUUAUUGGGUUUAAAGGGAGCGUAGAUGGAUGUUUAAGUCAGUUGUGAAAGUUUGCGGCUCAACCGUAAAAUUGCAGUUGAUACUGGAUGUCUUGAGUGCAGUUGAGGCAGGCGGAAUUCGUGGUGUAGCGGUGAAAUGCUUAGAUAUCACGAAGAACUCCGAUUGCGAAGGCAGCCUGCUAAGCUGCAACUGACAUUGAGGCUCGGAAGUGUGGGCAUCAAACAGGAUUAGAUACCCUGGUAGUCCACACGGUAAACGAUGAAUACUCGCUGUUUGCGAUAUACGGCAAGCGGCCAAGCGAAAGCGUUAAGUAUUCCACCUGGGGAGUACGCCGGCAACGGUGAAACUCAAAGGAAUUGACGGGGGCCCGCACAAGCGGAGGAACAUGUGGUUUAAUUCGAUGAUACGCGAGGAA